rnacentral:rRNA from 1 species
GACGAACGCUGGCGGCGUGCCUAAUACAUGCAGGUUGAGCGCUGAAGGUUGGUACUUGUACCAACUGGAUGAGCAGCGAACGGGUGAGUAACGCGUGGGGAAUCUGCCUUUGAGCGGGGGACAACAUUUGGAAACGAAUGCUAAUACCGCAUAAAAACUUUAAACACAAGUUUUAAGUUUGAAAGAUGCAAUUGCAUCACUCAAAGAUGAUCCCGCGUUGUAUUAGCUAGUUGGUGAGGUAAAGGCUCACCAAGGCGAUGAUACAUAGCCGACCUGAGAGGGUGAUCGGCCACAUUGGGACUGAGACACGGCCCAAACUCCUACGGGAGGCAGCAGUAGGGAAUCUUCGGCAAUGGACGAAAGUCUGACCGAGCAACGCCGCGUGAGUGAAGAAGGUUUUCGGAUCGUAAAACUCGGUUGGUAGAGAAGAACGUUGGUGAGAGUGGAAAGCUCAUCAAGUGACGGUAACUACCCAGAAAGGGACGGCUAACUACGUG